UACGUAGGGGGCAAGCGUUAUCCGGAUUUACUGGGUGUAAAGGGGGCGCAGACGGCGAUGCAAGCCAGGAGUGAAAGCCCGGGGCCCAACCGCGGGACUGCAUUGGGAACUGGCGCGCUGGAGUGCCGGAGGGGUAGGCGGAAUUCCUAGUGUAGCGGUGAAAUGCGUAGAUAUUAGGAGGAACACCAGUGGCGAAGGCGGCCUACUGGACGGUGACUGACGCUGAGGCUCGAAAGCGUGGGGAGCAAACAGG
rnacentral:rRNA from 1 species